CUCUUCGCGACGCCUUAUAAGAACUUUUGCUUUGACCUAUUGUAAUGUCCACCACUACAACUAGCUUCGAAUUAAGAAAUCCAAAGUUUGAUUCUUUACAUUUUUCCAAACAAAUGUUCGUCAAAAUAUACUAUCAUUAUUUCAUUCGAACAAAUCAAAUACAAUUUCCUGUUCUCGAAGCAACCCUACACGUAAAAAAAAUUCUCGCAUGCGAUAUUUGUAUAUAUCCAUACUACAAUGGGUAGAAAAAGUACUUUUUCGGUCAAAACAGUAGUACCAACCAUGACAUUUUUACUGUAUAUUUGCCGAAGCCGAGAGUUCAAGACUGCUUUACGGAAAGUAGUUACUUCCUUUCCAUUUCAACUGCAGACCAAGUAGGAUCACUUCGAGGGUGUCUAAAAUCCACCAUUAAAAUCUUGCAACAUAACUGUAAGUAGUUUACUUAAUUUUUUCCUGCUAUCAAUUCGAUAGGUUAGUAAGUUUUCCUUUUUUUUUGGUGUUAAAAGUGCAUCGUAAUUCAUUGGGCAGGUUAGCGCUCAUUUAUUAAAAGCGUGCGAUUUUUUGAGACACUCAAUUUUCCAACUUAGUCUGCCAUCACAGGAGAUUGGAAAUCAUUCAUUGCUUUAGCAAACAAAAACCAAAAGAAGAUUCACGAUAGCAACAAGAGGAAAACUACUGUCCCGUGCCCAAAUCACACCGGUCCUCAGUAUCAGGCCACAUGCUGGCCACGCGGUCUCGUCGUUUUUUCCUAGCUGCCCAAGCUUAGGAAAUUGAUACACAGCACACCCCCCCGGGCGCUUGGGGGAAAAAAGCCUACAUCGUCCAUAAAAAAAAAAUAAAAAAAUAAAAAAAAAAUAAUAUUAAUAAUUUAUGAAUUAAUUACCAAAUUUUUAACAUUCCCAAAAGAUGCGAAAACUGCAUCGAUAAGCUCCCCGAAAAGUGCAUUUGAAAAAAAAAAAAACAAUUCUGAUGAUAUAUACGUACAUACGUAGAGAGAUAAAGUUAAAGCCUGGAUAUAAAAGAACACUAACCAUUACAAAAAAAAAAAAAAUAAAAAAAUUUAAUUAAAAUUUGUAGAAACCACGCGGAGUAGGAAUUUGGGAAUACCUUUAUGUAAACUACUGGAUAUCAAGGAAAAAAUCAAUUGAAAAUUUCGUCAAAAAAAUAAUUACUAAGU